rnacentral:rRNA from 1 species
UACAGAGGUCUCAAGCGUUGUUCGGAUUCAUUGGGCGUAAAGGGCGCGUAGGCUGCGGGGCAAGUCGGGUGUGAAAUCUCAGAGCUCAACUCUGAAACUGCACUCGAUACUGCUUUGCUUGAGGACUGGAGAGGGUAACGGAAUUCACGGUGUAGCAGUGAAAUGCGUAGAGAUGCGGAGGAACACCCGAUGGCGAAGGCAGCCCCCCUGGGCUAACACUGACGCUCGAGGCACGAAAGCGUGGGGAGCAAACAGG